GACGAACGCUGGCGGCGUGCUUAACACAUGCAAGUCGAACGGUGAAGGGGCCUGCUUUUGUGGGUCCUGGAUGAGUGGCGAACGGGUGAGUAACACGUGAGUAACCUGCCCCCUUCUUCUGGAUAACCGCAUGAAAGUGUGGCUAAUACGGGAUAUUCUGGGUCUGUCGCAUGGUGGGCCUGGGAAAGAUUGCGCCUUUUUUGGUGUUUUUGGUGGGGGAUGGGCCCGCGGCCUAUCAGCUUGUUGGUGGGGUGAUGGCCUACCAAGGCGGUGACGGGUAGCCGGCCUGAGAGGGUGGACGGUCACACUGGGACUGAGACACGGCCCAGACUCCUACGGGAGGCAGCAGUGGGGAAUAUUGCACAAUGGGCGCAAGCCUGAUGCAGCGACGCCGCGUGAGGGAUGGAGGCCUUCGGGUUGUGAACCUCUUUCGCCAGUGAAGCAGGCCUGCCUCGUUUGUGGGUGGGUUGACGGUAGC
rnacentral:rRNA from 1 species